GACGAACGCUGGCGGCGUGCUUAACACAUGCAAGUCGAACGGAAAGGCCCUGCUUUUGUGGGGUGCUCGAGUGGCGAACGGGUGAGUAACACGUGAGUAACCUGCCCUUGACUUUGGGAUAACUUCAGGAAACUGGGGCUAAUACCGGAUAGGAGCUCCUGCUGCAUGGUGGGGGUUGGAAAGUUUCGGCGGUUGGGGAUGGACUCGCGGCUUAUCAGCUUGUUGGUGGGGUAGUGGCUUACCAAGGCUUUGACGGGUAGCCGGCCUGAGGGGGUGACCGGCCACAUUGGGACUGAGAUACGGCACAGACUCCUACGGGAGGCAGCAGUGGGGAAUAUUGCACAAUGGGCGGAAGCCUGAUGCAGCAACGCCGCGUGCGGGAUGACGGCCUUCGGGUUGUAAACCGCUUUCGCCUGUGACGAAGCGUGAGUGACGGUAAUGGGUAAAGAAGCACCGGCUAACUACGUG
rnacentral:rRNA from 1 species